UCCUGUGUGGUGGCACAGUUAACACGCUUGGCUGCUAACCAAAAGAUUGGAGGUUUGAGUCCACCUAGAGGUG
rnacentral:tRNA from 1 species